rnacentral:rRNA from 1 species
CGGUGUUUAACUGGCGUGAUGUGGGACGUCCUACCGGUGGGCUUAGCCUCGCGAGGGGCGGCCCAACUAAUAUCCCGUCGCGGUGCUCUUUACUGAGUGUCGAGUCGGGCCGGUACGUUUACUUUGAACAAAUUAGAGUGCUUAAAGCAGGCUAUCCUCGCCUGAAUACUGCGUGCAUGGAAUAAUGGAAUAGGACCUCGGUUCUAUUUUGUUGGUUUUCGGAACCCCGAGGUAAUGAUUAAUAGGGGCAGAUGGGGGCAUUCGUAUUGCGACGUUAGAGGUGAAAUUCUUGGAUCGUCGCAAGACGGACAGAAGCGAAAGCAUUUGCCAAAAAUGUUUUCAUUAAUCAAGAACGAAAGUUAGAGGUUCGAAGGCGAUCAGAUACCGCCCUAGUUCUAACCAUAAACGAUGCCAGCUAGCGAUCCGCCGAAGUUCCUCCGAUGACUCGGCGGGCAGCUUCCGGGAAACCAAAGCUUUUGGGUUCCGGGGGAAGUAUGGUUGCAAAGCUGAAACUUAAAGGAAUUGACGGAAGGGCACCACCAGGAGUGGAGCCUGCGGCUUAAUUUGACUCAACACGGGAAACCUCACCAGGCCCAGACACCGGAAGGAUUGACAGAUUGAUAGCUCUUUCUUGAUUCGGUGGGUGGUGGUGCAUGGCCGUUCUUAGUUGGUGGAGCGAUUUGUCUGGUUAAUUCCGAUAACGAACGAGACUCUAGCCUGCUAAAUAGGCGUACCUUAUGGUAUCGCGAAGGCCCCCGGCUUCGGCCGGUGGGUUUUUACUACCAACGUACAAACAAAUCUUCUUAGAGGGACAGGCGG